rnacentral:lncRNA from 1 species
AACAAAUGAGAUGCAUUGGGGGUCCGGCCAUCCCAUGGCGUGGGCAGUGUUGAGGCACUCACAAGAAAAUAAUGGCAGAGUACUUAAAAAUUGAUCAUGGAUGCAAUGAUAACAGAGAAGAAGUCAACCAACAAUGAGGAGAAACCCAGAUUCCUAAUCUUAUCAUUCAGUAAGUAAUGGCAUAGGAUUCCCGAGCACUUUUAACAAACAUACCAUAAGUUUCAAGAUUAGAUAUGAUUGCUAGACAUGUACCACUUAAGAAAUGCUUCUUCAUGCUUGAAAGCCCCCUACCACUAAGCUCCAACUUCUCUGUUCAAUUCCGCAAGCACCGGCUUCUGUCGAAGAUGGGGAGAAGACAGACCCUCUUCGCUCUCCUCUUAGCAUGCCUCCUGCUUGCUGCUUCUCCGCACCGUUACUCUGCUGCUACCAAGGUUCAAGGUAUGAAAUCAGGCAACCACGAAAACUUCUCUUCAUAUUAAUACAAUAAUUCUUUUCACUGGCAUAAUCUCUACAACUUAUUUUGUACGAAAUAUCACGGAAAAGAAGAGAGCUAGACACUCUAGUAUUUUCUAGCAACUAGAAGUUCUGAUAGAUCUUACCUCUAUUGCUGCCACUAGCUGGUUCCAAACCCAGAGAAGCGUCGGCAUCGGCAGCUGCGGCGGCAGGAUUCAGUUUUGCUACUUCGGUAUGUAUGAAAAGUACUCUUUUCCAGGCCAAUAUUCUCUUUUAGUUACCAUAAAUGGCUUAUACCUGAAUUUUGU